CCAAACUGGUCAUUUAGAGGAAGUAAAAGUCGUAACAAGGUUUCCGUAGGUGAACCUGCGGAAGGAUCAUUACAGUAUAUUGAAUUCUUAUUCAUAUCAACCCACACUGUGUACCUUUUAUUUGUUGCUUCCAUGGGACAUGGCUCUGCCACGUCGGCCUUCGGGCUGGUGAGUUCCCAUGGAAGGAAACCCAAUACUCUUUUUAUUUUUGACAUCUGUCUGAAUAGUUUUUAUAAACGUUAAAACUUUCAACAACGGAUCUCUUGGUUCUCGCAUCGAUGAAGCGCAGC
rnacentral:misc_RNA from 1 species